rnacentral:rRNA from 1 species
AGAGUUUGAUCCUGGCUCAGGAUGAACGCUGGCGGCGUGCCUAAUACAUGCAAGUCGAACGGAGAGUGAUACUUCGGUAGAAACUCUUAGUGGCGAACGGGUGAGUAACGCGUUGGUGACCUGCCCCGAAGAGGGGGAUAACAGCUUGAAAGAGCUGCUAAAACCCCAUGUGAUCUAAGAGGCUAGAGGCUUUUAGAUGAAAAGAGAAAUCUGCUUCGGGAGGGGCCUGCGUCCCAUCAGCUAGUUGGUAGGGUAAAGGCCUACCAAGGCGAAGACGGGUAGGGGACCUGAGAGGGUGACCCCCCACAAUGGAACUGAAACACGGUCCAUACACCUACGGGUGGCAGCAGUAGGGAAUAUUGCACAAUGGGCGAAAGCCUGAUGCAGCAACGCCGCGUGUGCGAUGAAGGCCUUCGGGUUGUAAAGCACUUUUCGGGGAGAUGAGGAAGGACAGUAUCCCCGGAAUAAGGCUCGGCUAACUACGUGCCAGCAGCCGCGGUAAAACGUAGGAGUCAAGCGUUAUCCGAAUUUACUGGGCGUAAAGCGCGUGCAGGCGGUUUGGAAAGUUGGAUGUGAAAGCUCCUGGCUCAACUAGGAGAGGACGUUCAAAACUACCAGACUAGAGGACGGUAGAGGGAGGUGGAAUUCCCGGUGUAGUGGUGAAAUGCGUAGAUAUCGGGAGGAACACCAGUGGCGAAGGCGGCCUCCUGGGCCGUUCCUGACGCUCAGACGCGAAAGCUAGGGUAGCAAACGGGAUUAGAAACCCCGGUAGUCCUAGCCGUAAACGAUGUAGACUGGGUGUUGGUGGUGUAAGAGCCAUCAGUGCCGAAGCAAACGCGAUAAGUCUACCGCCUGGGGACUACGGCCGCAAGGUUAAAACUUAAAGGAAUUGACGG